rnacentral:rRNA from 1 species
UCGAUUUGGAGUUUGUUGCCUUGAGUGAUGGGCUCCGAAGCUAACGCGAUAAAUCGACCGCCUGGGGAGUACGGCCGCAAGGUUAAAACUCAAAUGAAUUGACGGGGGCCCGCACAAGCGGUGGAGCAUGUGGUUUAAUUCGAUGCAACGCGAAGAACCUUACCUGGUCUUGACAUCCACAGAAUCUUGCAGAGAUGCGAGAGUGCCUUCGGGAACUGUGAGACAGGUGCUGCAUGGCUGUCGUCAGCUCGUGUUGUGAAAUGUUGGGUUAAGUCCCGCAACGAGCGCAACCCUUAUCCUUUGUUGCCAGCGNUUCGGCCGGGAACUCAAAGGAGACUGCCGUUGAUAAAGCGGAGGAAGGUGGGGACGACGUCAAGUCAUCAUGGCCCUUACGACCAGGGCUACACACGUGCUACAAUGGCGUAUACAAAGGGAGGCGACCUCGCGAGANCAAGCGGACCUCNUAAAGUACGUCUAAGUCCGGAUUGGAGUCUGCAACUCGACUCCAUGAAGUCGGAAUCGCUAGUAAUCGUGAAUCANAAUGUCACGGUGAAUACGUUCCCGGGCCU